AUUGAACGCUGGCGGCAGGCCUAACACAUGCAAGUCGAACGGUAACAGAAAGCAGCUUGCUGCUUUGCUGACGAGUGGCGGACGGGUGAGUAAUGUCUGGGAAACUGCCUGAUGGAGGGGGAUAACUACUGGAAACGGUAGCUAAUACCGCAUAACGUCGCAAGACCAAAGAGGGGGACCUUCGGGCCUCUUGCCAUCGGAUGUGCCCAGAUGGGAUUAGCUAGUAGGUGGGGUAACGGCUCACCUAGGCGACGAUCCCUAGCUGGUCUGAGAGGUUGACCAGCCACACUGGAACUGAGACACGGUCCAGACUCCUACGGGAGGCAGCAGUGGGGAAUAUUGCACAAUGGGCGCAAGCCUGAUGCAGCCAUGCCGCGUGUAUGAAGAAGGCCUUCGGGUUGUAAAGUACUUUCAGCGGGGAGGAAGGGAGUAAAGUUAAUACCUUUGCUCAUUGACGUUACCCGCAGAAGAAGCACCGGCUAACUCCGUG
rnacentral:rRNA from 1 species